GAAAGCAGUGAAGAAAAAGCAGAGAAUAUAUAAAGAGACCGGAUGUUGACAAAUUUCAUGUCACUGUUCUUAGAAGGUCGUUUGUUUUUGUGAGAGCAGAUUUCUCUUAUCUGGGAUCUCUCUCUUCACUAUAAUUCUUUUUUUUCUUUUUCUUUUUCUCUCUCUCUCUCUCUAACAAAAAAAACACUUCAUUUUGUUUUUGUUUGUUCUUCACUUUGUAUGUGUCUAAAAAAUAAAAAGACCCAAUAGAUCGAAAUCGACGAUCUAAGCUUCUUCAAUGUUGUUACUACAACACACCCACUUUGUUAAUUUUUAAUUCUUAAUUUUAUUUCUUCAAUUUUUUAUUUUAAUAGUUGGAGUCAAACACUGAAUUUUUCUUCUAUUUUGAAUGGUAGAAUCCAUGGCGGAUUCUUAAUAGCAAAGUGAUACAAGGAUGUGGGUUUGAGGUAAUUUUACUAAUCCUUUCUGAAUUGUAUGUUUAAUUUUAUUUUACUUAAUAAUUUGAUACAAUUUGGUUUUAUUAUUUUUGAACUAAUAAUGUUUUGAGUGCUAUAAAAAUGAAAUUCUUGGUUACUAGGAUUAUUCAACUGAAUAUAUAUAUAAACUUAAAUUGUGUUUUUCUUUCUUUUUAUUUGCUUGAUUAGAUGAAAUGUUCA
rnacentral:lncRNA from 1 species